rnacentral:rRNA from 1 species
CCUACGGGCGGCAGCAGUGAGGAAUAUUGGUCAAUGGACGAGAGUCUGAACCCGCCCAGUAGCGUGAAGGCUGACUGCCCUAUGGGUUGUAAACUUCUUUUAUAGAGGAAUAAAACGAGCCACGUGUGCGUUUUUGUAUGUACUUUAUGAAUAAGGAUCGGCUAACUCCGUGCCAGCAGCCGCGGUAAUACGGAGGAUCCGAGCUUUGUCCGGAUUUAUUUGGUUUAAAGGGAGCGUAGAUGGGUUGGUAAGUCAGUUGUGAAAGUUUGCGGCUCAACCGUAAAAUUGCAAUUGAUACUGGCAGUCUUGAGUACAGUUGAGGUAGGCUGAAUUCGUGGUGUAGCGGUGAAAUGCUUAGAUAUCACGAAGAACCCCGAUUGCGAAGGCAGCUUACUAAACUGUAACUGACAUUGAUGCUCGAAAGUGUGGGUAUCAAACAGGAUUAGAUACCCCAGUAGUC